UGCCUUUUCAUCAUUUUCUAUCAAAAAAUUUUAAAAAACAUAUUUGAGACCCUUACAACAAACCCUUCCAUUUAAUAUAGGUACCACACGGCACAGUUUGCAGUUUUUUAAUUUAUUGUUAUUAUGCUUGAUUACCCUUUAUUUAACAACUAUCACAUAAAGAGAUUUUAAAAUACAAAAAACAUGAAUGUUUAAUUAUUAUUUGAAAACAAUUUUACUGUUUUGUACAAUAGCAAAAUCUCUUAUUACAUCAGAGCAGACACGAUUCCUACUACGACCUUCUUCAAUUUGCGUUCAUAAGUUGACCUUUCAAAGAAGCGAAUGAACUGAUGAACUUCGAUUAAAAAUCAGUUCGUAGCUAAAAACGACAAGACACCACUCUUUUGAACUGUAUUCUGAACUGUAUGGAUUGUACCUACCUAUGUAUAUUUGCAUACAAUGACUACAUUUACCUAUUAGGUGCCAAUUAACUGUUAAAUUCAAUAAUGUAGUAUUUGCUUAUUUCAUUGUGUAAACAAGACACUUUCAAAUAUAUAUGUAUUUACACGACGAAUGAAAUGGUUGCCAAUCAUUGUUAGAGUUAUUUGCCUUCGGGUUUGCAUAUAUGCAUACAUAUACAGUGUGAUUAAUACAAACUGGUCUUUGGAAGCUUAUAAGAAACGAAAAGGGACACAAUGGAUUUUAAAGAGAAGAGUUAUUGCCUUUUGAAUUUAUUUUAACUGAAUACCACACCCCAAAUGUUUGAAGCACUUAUUUGUCAGUAGCAAAUAAUAAAUUCGUCUGAGGAAGCAAAGUUGCAAAGGAAGCAUGGAAUUUAGUUCCUAACUGAGGAUGACACUCCGAAACGUGCAUUUAGGAACUAAAUUUUUAAUUUUUAGGGUUCCGUACGUUCUAAUGAAAAACGGAAAUUUUAUUGGAUCACUCGUGUGUCUGUCUGUCCUGUCACAGUCAACAUGCUCCAAAUUUACUGAACCGAUUAAGUUGAAAUUUCCUGAAAUGUAUGAAUUUCUGUGAACCAAACACGGACGCAUAAACGUAAAUAAAUUAAUUUUGAAGAUGGGGGUCAUAUUUGGUGGGCCAAUAGGAAAUUAAAAAAAAAAGUUUUGCAAACUGUACCGUGUGAGAUAUUAAAUGGAAGGACUUGUUUUAAUUAAGAAAAUAGAUGAAAACUGACCAUUCCCCCUACCCUUAUCUACGAAACUACUGGCCCUAAAAUUUUGAAAAAGAUAGAGAACGGAUGAUGACUUUCGUGUUAUGGAAUAAAUAAAUGCCCACAAAUUACAAAAGAUGUAACCUAGAAUCGGCAAGUGGUAUUAUCACUUCCGUAUCACGGAGUUUGACAACAUAACAUUUUUUCAUGGAAAUAGCUUAAUGGUUACAUGAAAAAAUCUUUAAGGCUUUUUAGAAAGAGAAACGCUUCUAUUUCGAUGAAUCCUUGGUCCAUAUUAAAAAAAAUAGAUGAAAAUUGACCAUUCCCCCUCCCACUUAUCUACGAAACCACUGAUCCUAAAAUUUUGAAAAAAAAAUACGGAAAAUAGUUCUUCACUUAUAGAUUACAGAAAAGUUAAUAAGAAGUCGAUGGUCUGAGCAUAAUGUGGUAAAUGUUUCAACAAAACAACAUUGUGCGUACAAAUUUAGAUUUGCAAUUUGAAUGUAUUAGAGAUCAUGUUUUUUUCAACCACAAUGUUGUUGGUUCUUAGGUUACAGUUCCGUACGUCCGAAUUAAAAACAGAACCCUUAUAGGAUCACUCGUGUGUCUGUCUGCCCGUUUUUUUUUUUUUAAUAUGGAAUUGAAAGUAACAGUGUUUUAUGCAGUUCAGGUCCACAGAUUAGUGUCCGACC